rnacentral:rRNA from 1 species
CGGUGUUUAACUGGCGUGAUGUGGGACGUCCUACCGGUGGGCUUAGCCUCGCGAGGGGCGGCCCAACUAAUAUCCCGUCGCGGUGCUCUUUACUGAGUGUCGAGUCGGGCCGGUACGUUUACUUUGAACAAAUUAGAGUGCUUAAAGCAGGCUAUCCUCGCCUGAAUACUGCGUGCAUGGAAUAAUGGAAUAGGACCUCGGUUCUAUUUUGUUGGUUUUCGGAACCCCGAGGUAAUGAUUAAUAGGGACAGAUGGGGGCAUUCGUAUUGCGACGUUAGAGGUGAAAUUCUUGGAUCGUCGCAAGACGGACAGAAGCGAAAGCAUUUGCCAAAAAUGUUUUCAUUAAUCAAGAACGAAAGUUAGAGGUUCGAAGGCGAUCAUAUACCGCCCUAGUUCUAACCAUAAACGAUGCCAGCUAGCGAUCCGCCGAAGUUCCUCCGAUGACUCGGCGGGCAGCUUCCGGGAAACCAAAGCUUUUGGGUUCCGGGGGGAAGUAUGGUUGCAAAGCUGAAACUUAAAGGAAUUGACGGAAGGGCACCACCAGGAGUGGAGCCUGCGGCUUAAUUUGACUCAACACGGGAAACCUCACCAGGCCCAGACACCGGAAGGAUUGACAGAUUGAUAGCUCUUUCUUGAUUCGGUGGGGUGGUGGCUGCAUGGCCGUUUUUAGUUGGUGGAGCGAUUUGUCUGGUUAAUUCUGAUAACGAACGAGACUCUAGCCUGCUAAAUAGGCGUACCUUAUGGUAUCGCGAAGGCCCCCGGCUUCGGCCGGUGGGUUUUUACUACCAACGUACAAACAAAUCUUUUUAGAGGGACAGGCGG